rnacentral:rRNA from 1 species
UAAGCAUGUAGGCUGGUUAUCCAGGCAAAUCCGGAUAAUCAAGGCUGAGGUGUGAUGACGAGGCACUACGGUGCUGAAGUAACAAAUGCCCUGCUUCCAGGAAAAGCCUCUAAGCAUCAGGUAACACGAAAUCGUACCCCAAACCGACACAGGUGGUCAGGUAGAGAAUACCAAGGCGCUUGAGAGAACUCGGGUGAAGGAACUAGGCAAAAUGGUGCCGUAACUUCGGGAGAAGGCACGCUGAUAUGUAGGUGAAGUCCCUGCGGACGGAGCUGAAAUCAGUCGAAGAUACCAGCUGGCUGCAACUGUUUAUUAAAAACACAGCACUGUGCAAACACGAAAGUGGACGUAUACGGUGUGACGCCUGCCCGGUGCCGGAAGGUUAAUUGAUGGGGUUAUCCGUAAGGAGAAGCUCUUGAUCGAAGCCCCGGUAAACGGCGGCCGUAACUAUAACGGUCCUAAGGUAGCGAAAUUCCUUGUCGGGUAAGUUCCGACCUGCACGAAUGGCGUAAUGAUGGCCAGGCUGUCUCCACCCGAGACUCAGUGAAAUUGAACUCGCUGUGAAGAUGCAGUGUACCCGCGGCAAGACGGAAAGACCCCGUGAACCUUUACUAUAGCUUGACACUGAACAUUGAGCCUUGAUGUGUAGGAUAGGUGGGAGGCUUUGAAGCGUGGACGCCAGUCUGCGUGGAGCCAACCUUGAAAUACCACCCUUUAAUGUUUGAUGUUCUAACGUUGGCCCCUUACCGGGGUUGCGGACAGUGUCUGGUGGGUAGUUUGACUGGGGCGGUCUCCUCCCAAAGCGUAACGGAGGAGCACGAAGGUUAGCUAAUCCUGGUCGGACAUCAGGAGGUUAGUGCAAUGGCAUAAGCUAGCUUGACUGCGAGCGUGACGGCGCGAGCAGGUGCGAAAGCAGGUCAUAGUGAUCCGGUGGUUCUGAAUGGAAGGGCCAUCGCUCAACGGAUAAAAGGUACUCCGGGGAUAACAGGCUGAUACCGCCCAAGAGUUCAUAUCGACGGCGGUGUUUGGCACCUCGAUGUCGGCUCAUCACAUCCUGGGGCUGAAGUAGGUCCCAAGGGUAUGGCUGUUCGCCAUUUAAAGUGGUACGCGAGCUGGGUUUAGAACGUCGUGAGACAGUUCGGUCCCUAUCUGCCGUGGGCGCUGGAGAAUUGAGGGGGGCUGCUCCUAGUACGAGAGGACCGGAGUGGACGCAUCACUGGUGUUCGGGUUGUCAUGCCAAUGGCACUGCCCGGUAGCUAAAUGCGGAAGAGAUAAGUGCUGAAAGCAUCUAAGCACGAAACUUGCCCCGAGAUGAGUUCUCCCUGACUCCUUGAGAGUCCUGAAGGAACGUUGAAGACGACGACGUUGAUAGGCCGGGUGUGUAAGCGCAGCGAUGCGUUGAGCUAACCGGUACUAAUGAACCGUGAGGCUUAACC